GACGAACGCUGGCGGCGUGCUUAACACAUGCAAGUCGAACGGAAAGGCCCUGCUUUUGUGGGGUGCUCGGGUGGCGAACGGGUGAGUAACACGUGAGUAACCUGCCCUUGACUUUGGGAUAACUUCAGGAAACUGGGGCUAAUACCGGAUAGGAGCUCCUGCUGCAUGGUGGGGGUUGGAAAGUUUCGGCGGUUGGGGAUGGACUCGCGGCUUAUCAGCUUGUUGGUGGGGUAGUGGCUUACCAAGGCUUUGACGGGUAGCCGGCCUGAGAGGGUGGCCGGCCACAUUGGGACUGAGAUACGGCCCAGACUCCUACGGGAGGCAGCAGUGGGGAAUAUUGCACAAUGGGCGGAAGCCUGAUGCAGCAACGCCGCGUGCGGGAUGACGGCCUUCGGGUUGUAAACCGCUUUCGCCUGUGACGAAGCGUGAGUGACGGUAAUGGGUAAAGAAGCACCGGCUAACUACGUG
rnacentral:rRNA from 1 species